AGUUUUAUUCAUCCAACAAAUGUUUAUUGAGGGACCAGUUCAUGCCAGGUGGUUAUGGGUAAAGACUAUUUGAGGGCCCUGAGUUUUUCAGGGACAGAAAGGAGGGGCUAAGGCUCAGUACCAAGCCAAUAGCCCAGGAUUGAAGUGCUGAGAAAGAUGGUCACAAAGGUGUGAGCCUUUGUGAGAGAAAAAAACUCAACAGUAAAUUUUAAUACGGAGAAAACAGGAGGCAGAAUGGCCAGCGGCAGAAGCCCAGCUUUGGGAUAGAGCAUGAGGUCUUGGCAUGAGCAGCUGAAAACCAGACACAACUCCCCAAGGGGCUUUGAAUGACAAAGACCCAUCCCCAAGGUUCCUGAGCAAUGGGAGAGAGAGAAGGAAGUUCCUAAUGCAU
rnacentral:lncRNA from 1 species